CGUAGGUGGCGAGCGUUGUCCGGAAUUACUGGGCGUAAAGGAUGCGUAGGUGGAUAUUUAAGUGGGAUGUGAAAUCCCCGGGCUCAACCCGGGAACUGCAUUCCAAACUGGAUGUCUAGAGUGCAGGAGAGGAAAGCGGAAUUCCUAGUGUAGCGGUGAAAUGCGUAGAUAUUAGGAGGAACACCAGUGGCGAAGGCGGCUUUUCUGGACUGUAACUGACACUGAGGCAUGAAAGCGUGGGGUAGCAAACAGGAUU
rnacentral:rRNA from 1 species